rnacentral:rRNA from 1 species
AUUGAACGCUGGCGGCAGGCCUAACACAUGCAAGUCGAGCGCGAAAGUCUUCGGAUGAGUAAAGCGGCGAACGGGUGAGUAAUGCAUGGGAAUCUGCCUGGUAGUGGGGGACAACGUCUCGAAAGGGACGCUAAUACCGCAUACGCCCUACGGGGAAGGGGGGAGUCUUCGGACCUCUCGCUAUCAGAUGAGCCCAUGUCAGAUUAGCUAGUUGGUAGGGUAAAGGCCUACCAAGGCGACGAUCUGUAACUGGUCUGAGAGGAUGAUCAGUCACACUGGAACUGAGACACGGUCCAGACUCCUACGGGAGGCAGCAGUGGGGAAUAUUGCGCAAUGGGCGAAAGCCUGACGCAGCGACGCCGCGUGGGUGAUGAAGGCCUUGGUCGGUAAAGACCCUGUCGCAGGGGAAGAA